UUACGACAAUAUCACGUUGAAAUACCGGUUCUCGUACGAUCACGGAAGUUAAGCAAAGUCGAGCCUGGUCAGUGCAUAGAUGGGUGGCCGCUUGGAAAUAUCACGUGUUGUAC